GAUGAACGCUGGCGGCGUGCCUAAUACAUGCAAGUCGAGCGAACGGACGAGGAGCUUGCUUUUCUGAUGUUAGCGGCGGACGGGUGAGUAACACGUGGAUAACCUACCUAUAAGACUGGGAUAACUUCGGGAAACCGGAGCUAAUACCGGAUAAUAUUUUGAACCGCAUGGUUCAAAAGUGAAAGACGGUCUUGCUGUCACUUAUAGAUGGAUCCGCGCUGCAUUAGCUAGUUGGUAAGGUAACGGCUUACCAAGGCAACGAUGCAUAGCCGACCUGAGAGGGUGAUCGGCCACACUGGAACUGAGACACGGUCCAGACUCCUACGGGAGGCAGCAGUAGGGAAUCUUCCGCAAUGGGCGAAAGCCUGACGGAGCAACGCCGCGUGAGUGAUGAAGGUCUUCGGAUCGUAAAACUCUGUUAUUAGGGAAGAACAGAUGUGUAAGUAACUGUGCACAUCUUGACGGUACCUAAUCAGAAAGCCACGGCUAACUACGUG
rnacentral:rRNA from 1 species